rnacentral:RNase_P_RNA from 1 species
GCAGAAGGGCCGACGAUCGCUUCAUGCCGGGUGCAUGAAGAGGAAAGUCCGGGCAACGUAGAGCAGCAUACUUUCUAACGGAAAGUCGGAGGCGACUCUGAGGAUAAUGUGACAGAAAACAACCGCCAUGCCGCGUAUCCACGUCGGCACGGUAAGGGUGAAAAGGCGGGGUAAGAGCCCACCGGCUCCCGUGGCGACCCGGGAGGCCGCACAUCCUAUGUGUUGCAAGGUCAAGUAUACCGGCAUUUAAGGAUUGCUCGUCCAUUGCCGGGGGGUAGGCCGCUAAAGUCGGCGGGCAACCGUCUGACUCAGAUAAAUGAUCGUCAGCAUCGCGCAUGGAUUCUACGGAUUCCCGCUAUGCCACAUAACCCGGCUUAUAACCCUUCUGCUCAU